UUAAGUUCAGCGGGUAUCCCUACCUGAUCCGAGGUCAACCUUCAGAAGUUGGGGGUUUAACGGCGUGGCCGCGCUUUGUCCCGUUGCGAGGUUAGAUUACUACGCAGAGGAGUACAGCGUGACCGCCACUAGAUUUAGGGGACGCGCGCCACGAGGGCACGCCGAUCCCCAACACCAAGCCCGGGGGCUUGAGGGUUGAA
rnacentral:misc_RNA from 1 species